GAGGUCAUUUCAUAGCUGUAUUUAAUUUUAAACCCAAUAAUCCAGUGUGCAUGUCAACGCUGUUAUGCAAAUCUGAGAAUUUAGAUACAAGGUAGCCAGACAGAUUUUCCAGAAGAUGAAGCCUCUUGGCCUCAGAACAAGACGACUUACAUAGUUCAUCUCUACUGUACAGAAUACUGCCUCUAUCUGGACUCUGUGUCGCUAGCACACCACAGUUCACAAGUGUCCUCCUCACUUUCUACACAAUCUGUGUUUCGGUACUUGAACAUGUAAUUCAGGAAUUUUACACUAAUUUAUACAUUUUUUAAUUGGUUGCAUAUAUUAACAUGUACUAUAAGAUUUCUCCUAAAGAAGCAUUACAUAAUACAUGGAUACUGUAAAAAGAUCUGAUUAGUUAAAAGUAACAAGCAUUAACAGAGAUACAUACAAAACUCAACCUAGUUAGACUGAGUGCUGAGCUUGCAAUGAACUAUGGGUAAUCAGCCUUUCCAGUUGCAGCCUUCACAGGGGAAAACACAAGACAGUUAAAAAUGUAUGUAACUUGUUACACAGAUUACCUGUAAACAGUUUCUCUCCAUUGGACACCUGGAAUUAGACUCAGUUCCAAACAUACAGAAGAAUUUCCAUUUUAAACUAAGAGAAAGGUCUGUUACCAUGAAGUGUGAUGUGGAUGGUGCGGGGAUGUGAGCUCUGAAGUGCUGGGCUCUCAGAUGCUCAUGGGAGAUGGGUGGAUUUUGGCAGCUGGAGAUGGAAUUUUUUUUUAAAUUUUGUUUUUAAACACAGAAGAGGGGCUGUGUGUGUUUGAAGGCCUAAGUGUGAUAUUCGUUUGUGAAGGACUGUGCUCAACCCCUCCCUCUUCCCUCAGCAGCUGCAGCUCUCCGCAGAAGCCUUCACUCGGUCGUUCUUGUCUAGUUUGAUGGGUUCGGGGAAUUCGUUGUAAAGCUCCACUUCGGUUUCCUGUUUAAGUGCAUUUCGUGCAAUCGUCUGGAAAGCUUGUUCCACGUUAAUGGCCUCCUUGGCACUGGUUUCAAAGUAGGGGAUGUUGUUUUUACUGUAGCACCAGGCUUGUGCCCGUUUUGUGGUGACUUGUCUGUUUUCUAGGUCGAUCUUGUUUCCCAGGACAACAAAGGGAAAGUUCUCAGGAUCCCUUGGACUGGCCUGAAUGAGAAACUCGUCCCUCCAGCUGUCAAGGGUUUUGAAUGUGUUAGGGGCCGUGACAUCAAACACCAGCACACAGCAGUCUGCUCCCCUGUAGAAGGCAACUCCCAGAGACUGGAAUCGUUCUUGGCCUGCUGUAUCCCAUAUCUGCAUUGUCACUAGCCUGUCAUCCACCAUGACCUCUUUUGUCAGGAAGUCUGCACCUAUCGUAGCCUUGUACUGGUUACUAAAUUUCUUGUUCACAUACUGGUUCAUGAGUGAUGUCUUCCCCACCCCAGAGUCUCCGAGGAUGAUGACUUUCAGUAACACUUUCUUCCUAGAAGUCAUCUUUUAAACGUGGUGCGUGUGCCGCAGCGCCCGCCCGAACCUCGCUGUCCCUCCCCCGCUCGUCUCGGUCGGCUUUAUCGGGCCCAACCACCUCCCCGCUUUCAC
rnacentral:lncRNA from 1 species